rnacentral:rRNA from 1 species
UACACUCCUACGGGAGGCAGCAGUGGGGAAUAUUGGACAAUGGGCGCAAGCCUGAUCCAGCCAUGCCGCGUGAGUGAUGAAGGCCCUAGGGUUGUAAAGCUCUUUUGUGCGGGAAGAUAAUGACGGUACCGCAAGAAUAAGCCCCGGCUAACUUCGUGCCAGCAGCCGCGGUAAUACGAAGGGGGCUAGCGUUGCUCGGAAUCACUGGGCGUAAAGGGUGCGUAGGCGGGUCUUUAAGUCAGGGGUGAAAUCCUGGAGCUCAACUCCAGAACUGCCUUUGAUACUGAAGAUCUUGAGUUCGGGAGAGGUGAGUGGAACUGCGAGUGUAGAGGUGAAAUUCGUAGAUAUUCGCAAGAACACCAGUGGCGAAGGCGGCUCACUGGCCCGAUACUGACGCUGAGGCACGAAAGCGUGGGGAGCAAACAGGAUUAGAAACCCCGGUAGUCCCA